GUGGCUAUCGUUCAAUGGUAGGACAAUGGUUUGUGGUACCAUGAAUCAGGGUUCGAUUCCCUGUAGUCACCCCA
rnacentral:tRNA from 1 species